rnacentral:rRNA from 1 species
AUCGAACGCUGGCGGCAGGCCUAAUACAUGCAAGUCGAACGAGUGGCGGACGGGUGUGUAAUGUCGGUGAACCUCCCCGUUGGAGGGGGUAAAUUAUUGGAAACGGUAGUUAUUACCGCAUAACAUCAGAUGUGGCUAGAUGGGAUUAGCUUGUUGGUGGGGUAACGGCACACCAAGGCGACGAUCCCUAGCUGGUCUGAGAGGAUGACGAGCCACACUGGAACUGAGACACGGUCCAGACUCCUACGGGGGGCAGCAGUGGGGAAUAUUGCACAAUGGGCGCAAGCCUGAUGCAGCCAUGCCGCGUGUAUGAAGAAGGCCUUCGGGUUGUAAAGUACUUUCAGCGGGGAGGCGUUAACCGCAGAAGAAGCACCGGCUAACUCCGUGCCAGCCGCCGCGGUAAUAC